CUACGGAGGGUGCAAGCGUUAAUCGGAAUUACUGGGCGUAAAGCGUACGUAGGCGGUUCGUUAAGUUAGAUGUGAAAGCCCCGGGCUUAACCUGGGAACUGCAUUUAAAACUGGCGGACUAGAGUUGAGUAGAGGGGAGUGGAAUUUCAGGUGUAGCGGUGAAAUGCGUAGAGAUCUGAAGGAACACCAGUGGCGAAGGCGACUCCCUGGACUCGAACUGACGCUGAGGUACGAAAGCGUGGGUAGCAAACGGGAUUAGAAACCCUAGUAGUCC
rnacentral:rRNA from 1 species